rnacentral:rRNA from 1 species
UACGGAGGGGGCUAGCGUUGUUCGGAAUUACUGGGCGUAAAGCGCGCGUAGGCGGAUUUGCAAGUUGGGGGUGAAAUCCCGGGGCUCAACCUCGGAAUGGCCUUCAAGACUGCUGGUCUUGAGUUCGAGAGAGGUGAGUGGAAUUCCGAGUGUAGAGGUGAAAUUCGUAGAUAUUCGGAGGAACACCAGUGGCGAAGGCGGCUCACUGGCUCGAAACUGACGCUGAGGUGCGAAAGCGUGGGGAGCAAACAGG